rnacentral:rRNA from 1 species
UGGGGAAUAUUAGAAAUGGACGAAAGUCUGAUCUAGCAACACCGCGUGUGCGAAGAAGGCCUUCGGGUUGUAAAGCACUUUUUGGAAGGAUUAGGAAGGAAUGUACUUCCAGAAUAAGUCUCGGCUAACUACGUGCCAGCAGCCGCGGUAACACGUAGGAGGCAAACGUUAUCCGGAUUUACUGGGCGUAAAGCGCGUGUAGGUGGUUCUGUAAGUAGGGCGUGAAAGCUCCCGGCUCAACUGGGAGAGGCCGUUCUAAACUGCAGAGCUAGAGGAUGGUAGAGGGAGGUGGAAUUCCGGGUGUAGCGGUGGAAUGCGCAGAUAUCUAGAGGAACGCCGGAGGCGAAAGCGGGGCACUGGGCCGAUUCUGACGCUGAGACGCGAAAGCUUGGGGAGCAAACA